GGCUCUGUAGCUCAGUUGGUAGAGCGUCCGACUGAAAAUCGAAAGGUCACCGGUUCAAUCCCGGUCGGAGCCA
rnacentral:tRNA from 2 species